rnacentral:rRNA from 1 species
GUGAGGAAUAUUGCGCAAUGGAGGCAACUCUGACGCAGCCAUGCCGCGUGCAGGAAGAAGGCGCUACGCGUUGUAAACUGCUUUUAACCGGGAAGAAACCCCAGGACGUGUCCUGGGUUGACGGUACCGGAGGAAUAAGCACCGGCUAACUUCGUGCCAGCAGCCGCGGUAAUACGAAGGGUGCAAGCGUUAUCCGGAUUCAUUGGGUUUAAAGGGUGCGUAGGCGGAGCGUUAACUCAGUGGUGAAAUCCUGCAGCUUAACUGUCGACUUGACAUUGAUACUGGCGCUCUUGAGUGCGGUUGAAGUGGGCGGAAUGUGCCGUGUAGCGGUGAAAUGCUUAGAUAUGGCACAGAACACCAAUUGCGAAGGCAGCUCACUAAGGCGAUACUGACGCUGAGGCACGAAAGCGUGGGGAUCGAACAGGAUUAGAUACCCCUGUAGUCC